rnacentral:rRNA from 1 species
GUCUACGGCCAUACCACCCUGAACAUGCCCCAUCUCGUCUGAUCUCGGAAGCUAAGCAGGGUCGGGCCUGGUUAGUACUUGGAUGGGAGAAAUGUUAACUAAAAAUA